rnacentral:rRNA from 1 species
AUUGAACGCUGGCGGCAGGCCUAACACAUGCAAGUCGAGCGAGUGGCGGACGGGUGAGUAAUGUCUGGGAAACUGCCUGAUGGAGGGGGAUAACUACUGGAAACGGUAGCUAAUACCGCAUACCAUCAGAUGUGCCCAUAUGGGAUUAGCUUGUAGGUGGGGUAACGGCUCACCUAGGCGACGAUCCCUAGCUGGUCUGAGAGGAUGACCAGCCACACUGGAACUGAGACAAGGCCCAGACUCCUACGGGAGGCAGCAGUGGGGAAUAUUGCACAAGGGGCGCAAGCCUGAUGCAGCCAUGCCGCGUGUAUGAAGAAGGCCUUCGGGUUGUAAAGUACUUUCAGUGGGGAGGCGUUAACUGCAGAAGAAGCACCGGCUAACUCCGUGCCAGCAGCCGCGGUAAUAC